GGGGGGGGGGGGGGGGGGGCGGGGGGGGGGGAGGGCGAGGGGCGGCGCAGGAGGAGCUUGCUCGUACGGGUGGCGAGUGGCGGACGGGUGAGGGAUACAUCGGAAUCUACUUUUUCGUGGGGGAUAACGUAGGGAAACUUACGCUAAUACCGCAUACGACCUACGGGUGAAAGCAGGGGAUCUUCGGACCUUGCGCGAUUGAAUGAGCCGAUGUCGGAUUAGCUAGUUGGCGGGGUAAAGGCCCACCAAGGCGACGAUCCGUAGCUGGUCUGAGAGGAUGAUCAGCCACACUGGAACUGGGACACGGUCCAGACUCCUACGGGAGGCAGCAGUGGGGAAUAUUGGACAAUGGGCGCAAGCCUGAUCCAGCCAUACCGCGUGGGUGAAGAAGGCCUUCGGGUUGUAAAGCCCUUUUGUUGGGAAAGAAAAGCAGCAGGUUAAUACCCCGCUGUUCUGACGGUACCCAAAGAAUAAGCACCGGCUAACUUCGUG
rnacentral:rRNA from 1 species